rnacentral:rRNA from 1 species
CCCCUACGGGGCGCAGCAGUAGGGAAUCUUCGGCAAUGGGCGAAAGCCUGACCGAGCAACGCCGCGUGAAUGAAGAAGGCCUUCGGGUUGUAAAAUUCUGUUAUAAGGGAAGAAAGGUGAUAGGAGGAAAUGACUAUCAAUUGACGGUACCUUAUGAGAAAGCCACGGCUAACUACGUGCCAGCAGCCGCGGUAAUACGUAGGUGGCAAGCGUUGUCCGGAUUUACUGGGUGUAAAGGGCGUGCAGCCGGAGAGACAAGUCAGAUGUGAAAUCCACGGGCUCAACCCGUGAACUGCAUUUGAAAC